UCUCCGUUGGUGAACCAGCGGAGGGAUCAUUACCGAGUGCAAACUCAUAACCCUUUGUGAACCUAUAUCUGUUGCUUCGGCGGCUCGCUCUCGGGCUAGCCCGCCGGUAAUAUCAGUAUCUCUGUUUGAACCCGACGAUACUUCUGAGUGUUCUUAGCGAACAGUUAAAACUUUUAACAACGGAUCUCUUGGCUCUA
rnacentral:misc_RNA from 1 species